CGGUAAUUCCAGCUCCAAUAGCGUAUACUAAAGUUGUUGCAGUUAAAAAGCUCGUAGUUGGAUUUCUGCGGGGACGGAGCGGCCGGACGCAACUUGCGUCUCGAGCUAGCGCUUUCCCCGCAUCCUGCCGCGAACCGUGCUACCAUUAGCUUGGUGGCGCUGGGGAUCGGCUCGAUUACUUUGAGAAAAAUAGAGUGUUCAAAGCAGGCCACACGCCUUGAAUAAGUUAGCAUGGAAUAAUGACUAAGGACUUCGGUUCUAUUUUGUUGGUGUUCGGGACUGAAGUAAUGAUUGAUAGGGACAGUUGGGGCGGUCUGUAUUCCAAAGCGAGAGGUGAAAUUCUUAGACCUUCGGAAGACAAACAGCUGCGAAAGCGUUCCGCAAGGAUGUUCCCUUUGAUCAAGAACGAAAGUUGGGGGAUCGAAGACGAUCAGAUACCGUCGUAGUCUCAACUAUAAACUAUACCAGCUAGGGAUCGGUCAACGUUUAAUCAUUCGACUUGAUCGGCACCUUAUGAGAAAUCAAAGCAUCUGGGUUCCGGGGGGAGUAUGGUCGCAAGGCUGAAACUUAAAGGAAUUGACGGAAGGGCACCACCAGCCGUGGAGCCUAUGGCUUAAUUUGACUCAACACGGGAAAACUUACCAGGUCCAGACAUAGUAAGGAUUGACAGAUUGAUAGCUCUUUCUUGAUUCUGUGGGUGGUGGUGCAUGGCCGUUCUUAGUUGGUGGAGUGAUUUGUCUGGUUAAUUCCGUUAACGAACGAGACCCCAGCCUGCUAAAUAGCGCGGCUGAGCUUUGCUCGGUGCGAGCUUCUUAGAGGGACUAUGAUGCGCGAUAGCACAUGGAAGUUUGGGGCAAUAACAGGUCUGUGAUGCCCUUAGAUGUUCUGGGCCGCACACGGGCUACACUGGCGCCUGCAACGAGCAUAUCAGCUGGCCCGAGAGGGUCUUGGCUAAUCUUUUGAACCGGCGCCGUGCUUGGGAUUGACCAUUGCAAUUGUUGGUCAUGCAACGAGGAAUGCCUUGUAAACGCGAGUCAUCAGCUCGCAUUGAAUACGUCCCUGCCCUUUGUACACACCGCCCGUCGCUCCUACCGAUGAAUGUUCCGAUGAAAUUUUCGGAGAGCGCCAGAGAACGGGGCUCCGCCUUGCAGAUCUGGAGGCUCAAAGUCACUUAAAUCUGAACAUUUCGAGGAAGGAGAAGUCGUAACAAGGUAGCCG
rnacentral:rRNA from 1 species